GUCAACUUCUUGCUUUUUCAUGAACAGCCUGACAGGAAAAAGCAUAUCAAUCAUUCAAAGCUGCUCCUGGGAUGUUUGAAGAUUCAGACCCAAGGUCCUACUCUGCCUCACAGGAAAUGGUUUUACGCACUGUUCGAGGCUCCUGAUGGGGCUGCUCCAGUUCAUGUAACGUUAACACAUUACAGGUCUCUUUGAUCCCAGGGGAAUUAGUCAAUCACUAAGUUUGGACUAAUUCUUCUACAGCCAUAUCAGUAUACUUUUAUCUUCAUUUUUCUUCUCAGAAGAUCUGGAAGCACGUCAGAUCACACCCUUUGGUCUCAGUCUGACUUUGCAGAGGAUUCUUCUCAGGGGCAGUCUGGUUUCCCAGGGGAAUGCAGCUUAUGCGAUCUCGCUGUCUCAGCCCAUCCAUCCAUCAUGUGCUGCCUACAGCCUGGUCUGGCAGAAAGAGAAACCUGGUUUUGCAGUCCUUUCAGAUGCUUUCAUUUUCCAAGAAUAAAGAACAAGGCCUCAGAAGUCGGAUUUGGCAAGCAAGGACCUCCAUAACCUGCCUAUAGCUCAGAGCACCAAUCAGCUGAAAAUUCAGACAGUAACUGGUAUAAUAUGUAGAACACUGGUGUGAGCAUCUGCACAUGUAGGUUCUUGACAUGUGUCUUCAAAGGAGACGGUGUGCAUGGAAGUGUGUAAUUUUGACAAGGAAACCUUGCAUACGUGGGAAAGGAAGAUUGUGUAUUUCAGAAGACUGUCAUUUGCACACAGCACCAAGUUGGAAGCA
ensembl:lncRNA